rnacentral:lncRNA from 1 species
AUACGAUCUUAGAUCCAAUAUCCUAGAAGAUCAACUAUUAAGGUACCACAAACCAAUCUCCCUAAACAUAAAUUUUUUAAAACAUAAGUACUACUAUUAACACAUUCAGUGAUCUGAAUUAACCCAACCUUUAGCGGUCAUUACCCAUAACAAUCUAUUCCCAACUCAUAAUCAAACUUCUAAAGAAAUAAGAAUACCUGACCAAGAUUCUCUAUAAAAGGACCUUACUCCUCCUAAAUUAAAUACUUAAUGAGAGAUUUUCUGACAACAUUUUCUAAUGAUAAGACCUUUGGUGUGGCAACUCGUACAUAUCUUUUCCUCACUCCCAAGUUGGAAUGUAAAAGUACC